rnacentral:rRNA from 1 species
UACGAAGGGGGCUAGCGUUGUUCGGAAUUACUGGGCGUAAAGGGCUCGUAGGCGGCCAACUAAGUCGGACGUGAAAUCCCUCGGCUUAACCGGGGAACUGCGUCCGAUACUGGAUGGCUUGAGUGUGGGAGAGGGAUGCGGAAUUCCAGGUGUAGCGGUGAAAUGCGUAGAUAUCUGGAGGAACACCGGUGGCGAAGGCGGCAUCCUGGACCACGACUGACGCUGAGUGAGCGAAAGCCAGGGGAGCAAACGGG